CAAGAAUUAGUUUAUUAAAAUUUUAAUUUUGGAGAUUAAAGAUAAAAAAUUUUUUUAUUCUUGA
rnacentral:tRNA from 1 species